GGUGAAGUGCCGGAUGAAACGGAUCGCGAUGAUGAUGCGGUACAUGGGAAAUUUUAGUCCCCUUCGCCU
rnacentral:tRNA from 1 species